AAAACACAAACAAGGCCUUUUCACACCUGGCACCUCCAAGCAGCCAGUGCAACCUGCCGGGCUCUGCUGGCUCCGAGAAGGUGGAGGAGCCCUUCACUCAGCAGGUCCUCACUUCUACCUCACCCCAACUCCUGGGGAAACUUGGGGUGGGUGCCUAUGGCUUCUUGGUCAUGUGAUUCCUGAUAACAGGAUAACUGAUGUGACCUCUCCAUUGUCCGACUCUUAUUCUAAGCAGAAGAGCUGAUGGCCAGAAGGCUCCAGCUCGGAGCCACCACUACUGCUGCUUUCACCGGACUCCUCAGUCUGGGUUGCCUGGGUGGGUAGAACCUGCAGGUCGGGAUUGCGCGGCUGCGUGCGUGUGCCGCCUCCUCGCCUUCUUCUUGGCCUGCUUCACCUUCUUGUCGUAGUCGUCCCGAGCGAUCUGGUUCUGUC
rnacentral:lncRNA from 1 species